ensembl:misc_RNA Metazoa_SRP Metazoan signal recognition particle RNA
GCUGGGCAUGGUGGCGCAUGCCUGUAAUCCCAGCUACUCGGGAGGCUGAGGCAGAAGAAUCGCUUGAACCCGGGAGGCAGAGGUUGCAGUGAGCCAAGAUCACGCCACUGCACUCCAGCCUCGGCAACAGAGCGAGACUCUGUCUCAA